AUACUAUUUCCUUCAUUUUUCAGUUGCCAUGAGCUAUUAAUGCGAGAUUGGACAUUUCUUAGCAAAAUCCAAAUACUGACGGGAAUCAACUGAAAAUCUUAUCGGCACUCACUGGGUCCUCAGUAGUCUCCAGUCUGUUCCUCCAUCCCACCAAACCAAGGUUAUUAGACUAGGCGUCCAGUAUUCCACUCCACCAGACCAGCCCCAAUCCCUCAUGUUUCGCAUCCCCGUGCCUCAGGACAUUGAGGUUAUGAAGAGGUGAGGUUCAAGGCCUGAGGAGAAGCAACUUGAGUUUGCUGCAUCCCUGGCCAAAAUGCCUCAAGGAUCCCAUUUAAAUUCCCAAGGCUUAUGGUUCUCGUAGUAGGGGUCUGUUGAUAUGAAUUGAUGUGUGCCUUGUGUGGUGCAUGUGGUUCUAUACAGUAAUUUGUCCUAAAAAAGAAAGACUACCAGAUUGAAACACCCCGAGAAUUUCGGUGCAUAAAUUCCUGAAAAAGACUAACAAAAUUAUUUUGGUAAAUUCGGUGUGGCUUCUAUUUUUCUAACUGAUUUUUUUGUUGGCAAUGUUGGUGUUGUCGAUUAAAAUCUUGACAAUAGAAAACUUGUUUACCUAGGUUCUAUUUGUCUGUGUUACCUUCUGAGGUCCAGUCAGACAAGAGAUGAUUUAUAUAAAGGUCGAUGGAUUGAUGUUAGCGGGGCUUGGUUGGCGUCGUGGUUUAAGUUGAUUGUUGUUCUGUAGGGUUAUUCCUUGGCAGAAUAAGGGAUUGAUCUUGGUAGGGCUUGGUUGGCGUCAUGGCUUGAGUUGAUUGUUGUUCUAUUGGUUUCCUCGUCUGCACCCCUCCUGGGGCCGAGUAUUUAUACUCGUAGGUCUCGUUUCCUAGGACUUGUAGAGGUGUUUUUGGUACCAGUAGUUUUAGUGGAGUCCUUGUCGAGUCUAAGUAGGUCUCCCGCAGCCUUCCCAAAGUAGGUCUAUUUGACGUUUCCUAAGUCUCAGGGGCGUGCCAUAAUUUUUACACCGACAGUUGGAAAACUAAGUUUUCUAUGUGGUGGAAAAACUGAACUGAAGAAACCAAGUGGUGAACGAGUGUAUCAGUGAUUCCAGAAAUAGAUACUUUGCAUCAGGAGGAAACACAUUGUCUUGAUAAAGUGUAAUGUACAGUGUGGUAUGUUUUACAUUGUGUAUAUUGUAUAGAGAUGGUAAUGAUAUUAUUAUUUCUUCCUA